UACGUAGGGUGCAAGCGUUGUCCGGAAUUAUUGGGCGUAAAGAGCUCGUAGGCGGUCUGUCGCGUCGGCUGUGAAAACUCGGGGCUCAACCCCGAGCCUGCAGUCGAUACGGGCAGACUAGAGUAUUGCAGGGGAGACUGGAAUUCCUGGUGUAGCGGUGAAAUGCGCAGAUAUCAGGAGGAACACCAACGGCGAAGGCAGCUCGCUGGGACGGUACUGACGCUGAGGCGCGAAAGCGUGGGGAGCGAACAGG
rnacentral:rRNA from 1 species